rnacentral:rRNA from 1 species
AGAGUUUGAUCAUGGCUCAGAACGAACGCUGGCGGCGUGGAUAAGACAUGCAAGUCGGACGAGAUUUCGUCCUGUAGCAAUAUGGGACGAAGCUAGUGGCGAACGGGUGCUUAACACGUGGGCAACCUGCCGAGAAGUGGGGGAUAGCUCGCCGAAAGGCGAAUUAAUACCGCAUGUGAUCAGAAUGGACAUCCAUUCAAAAUUAAAGUCGGGGCAACCUGACGCUUCUUGUGGGGCCCGCGGCCUAUCAGCUUGUUGGUGAGGUAACGGCUCACCAAGGCUUUGACGGGUAGCUGGUCUGAGAGGAUGACCAGCCACACUGGGACUGAGACACGGCCCAGACACCUACGGGUGGCAGCAGUCGAGAAUUUUUGACAAUGGGGGAAACCCUGAUCGAGCGACGCCGCGUGGAGGAUGAAGGUCUUCGGAUUGUAAACUCCUGUCAUUGGGGAACAAGUCGCUUACGUUAACUGCGUGAGCGUUGAUAGUACCCGAAGAGGAAGAGACGGCUAACUCUGUGCCAGCAGCCGCGGUAAUACAGAGGUCUCAAGCGUUGUUCGGAUUCAUUGGGCGUAAAGGGUGCGUAGGCGGCGCGGUAAGUCGGGUGUGAAAUCUUGGAGCUUAACUCCGAAACUGCAUUCGAUACUGCCGUGCUUGAGGACUGGAGAGGAGACUGGAAUUUACGGUGUAGCGGUGAAAUGCGUAGAUAUCGUAAGGAAGACCAGUGGCGAAGGCGGGUCUCUGGACAGUUCCUGACGCUGAGGCACGAAGGUCAGGGGAGCAAACGGGAUUAGAUACCCUAGUAGUCC